AUUCCAGCUCCAAUAGCGUAUAUUAAAGUUGUUGUGGUUAAAAAGCUCGUAGUUGGAUCUCGGCGGUCUGAGGGCGGUUCGCUUCAGAGCGCUACUGCCAGAGGUCUCAGGGUGCUCUUAACCGAGUGUCUUGCGAUGCUGGCAGGUUUACUUUGAAAAAAUUAGAGUGCUCAAAGCAGGCUUUUACGCCUGAAUAUUCGUGCAUGGAAUAAUAGAAUAGGAAGUCGUUUCUAUUUUGUUGGUUUUCGGAAAUCGACUUAAUGAUUAAUAGGGACAGUCGGGGGCAUUUGUAUUCAAACGACAGAGGUGAAAUUCUUGGACCGUUUGAAGACAAACUACUGCGAAAGCAUUUGCCAAGAAUGUUUUCAUCA
rnacentral:rRNA from 1 species